GAAAUCAACCGAGAUUCCCCCAGUAGCGGCGAGCGAACGGGGAGGAGCCCAGAGCCUGAAUCAGUGUGUGUGUUAGUGGAAGCGUCUGGAAAGGCGCGCGAUACAGGGUGACAGCCCCGUACACAAAAAUGCACAUGCUGUGAGCUCGAUGAGUAGGGCGGGACACGUGGUAUCCUGUCUGAAUAUGGGGGGACCAUCCUCCAAGGCUAAAUACUCCUGACUGACCGAUAGUGAACCAGUACCGUGAGGGAAAGGCGAAAAGAACCCCGGCGAGGGGAGUGAAAAAGAACCUGAAACCGUGUACGUACAAGCAGUGGGAGCACAGAGCAAUCUGUGUGACUGCGUACCUUUUGUAUAAUGGGUCAGCGACUUAUAUUCUGUAGCAAGGUUAACCGAAUAGGGGAGCCGAAGGGAAACCGAGUCUUAACCGGGCGUUAAGUUGCAGGGUAUAGACCCGAAACCCGGUGAUCUAGCCAUGGGCAGGUUGAAGGUUGGGUAACACUAACUGGAGGACCGAACCGACUAAUGUUGAAAAAUUAGCGGAUGACUUGUGGCUGGGGGUGAAAGGCCAAUCAAACCGGGAGAUAGCUGGUUCUCCCCGAAAGCUAUUUAGGUAGCGCCUCGUGAAUUCAUCUCCGGGGGUAGAGCACUGUUUCGGCAAGGGGGUCAUCCCGACUUACCAACCCGAUGCAAACUGCGAAUACCGGAGAAUGUUAUCACGGGAGACACACGGCGGGUGCUAACGUCCGUCGUGAAGAGGGAAACAACCCAGACCGCCAGCUAAGGUCCCAAAGUCAUGGUUAAGUGGGAAACGAUGUGGGAAGGCCCAGACAGCCAGGAUGUUGGCUUAGAAGCAGCCAUCAUUUAAAGAAAGCGUAAUAGCUCACUGGUCGAGUCGGCCUGCGCGGAAGAUGUAACGGGGCUAAACCAUGCACCGAAGCUGCGGCAGCGACACUGUGUGUUGUUGGGUAGGGGAGCGU
rnacentral:rRNA from 1 species